rnacentral:misc_RNA from 1 species
CCAGUUCCGACUUCCCUCUUUUUGCCUCCUUGCUUUUCGUUCCUUUCCAGUCUCUGCCGCUCCCUCCUUUGUGCCCCCUCUUUGAUCCUCCUACCAAACUCGGUAGGCAAAAAAUCAUCCUCAUCCUGAUCAUCAUCAUCCUCAAACCCCUGACUUUUUUUAACCACAUUAUUGCUAUUAUUAAAUCCCAGCCCCGACCCUGAACCUGACCCUAACCCAGGCCUGUCAUUAU